rnacentral:rRNA from 1 species
GAUGAACGCUGGCGGCGUGCCUAAUACAUGCAAGUCGAGCGAUCAGACGAGGAGCUUGCUCCUCUGACGUUAGCGGCGGACGGGUGAGUAACACGUGGAUAACCUACCUGUAAGACUGGGAUAACUUCGGGAAACCGGAGCUAAUACCGGAUAAUAUAUUGAACCGCAUGGUUCAAUAGUGAAAGACGGUUUUGCUGUCACUUAUAGAUGGAUCCGCGCCGCAUUAGCUAGUUGGUAAGGUAACGGCUUACCAAGGCAACGAUGCGUAGCCGACCGGAGAGGGUGAUCGGCAACACUGGAACUGAGACACGGUCCAGACUCCUACGGGAGGCAGCAGUAGGGAAUCUUCCGCAAUGGGCGAAAGCCUGACGGAGCAACGCCGCGUGAGUGAUGAAGGUCUUCGGAUCGUAAAACUCUGUUAUUAGGGAAGAACAAAUGUGUAAGUAACUAUGCACGUCUUGACGGUACCUAAUCAGAAAGCCACGGCUAACUACGUGCCAGCCGCCGCCGUAA